UACGUAGGGGGCAAGCGUUGUCCGGAAUUAUUGGGCGUAAAGGGCUCGUAGGCGGUUCGUCACGUCGGGAGUGAAAACUCGGAGCUUAACUCCGAGCCUGCUUCCGAUACGGGCAGACUAGAGGUAGGCAGGGGAGAGCGGAACUCCUGGUGUAGCGGUGGAAUGCGCAGAUAUCAGGAAGAACACCGGUGGCGAAGGCGGCUCUCUGGGCCUUACCUGGCGCUGAGGAGCGAAAGCGUGGGUAGCGAACAGG
rnacentral:rRNA from 1 species